rnacentral:lncRNA from 1 species
CCAUUAAUGACAAUAGCCUUAGAGUCAUAAGACACAGAGGCUUUUGCAGAACCAACCCAUGAACACAACACCACCAGGAGCACUAGUACAUUCCACAUUACAAGCCUCAACCCCAUACACAAAAAACUAGCAAAUUUGAGCUUUCCACCCUUGAGCUCACCACCAGAGCAGUGGCCUUUUUGCUGCUAUUAUUCUUUCUUUGUUUCUCUGCCACUUUAUUAUAUGCUUCUUUUGGUGAAUGGGGAGAAAGACAAGGUAACCCAGCUGGUUUAUGUCUUCCUUUUUCUUUACCUG